ensembl:lincRNA Gm44196 predicted gene, 44196
CAGCAAUUUCUUUGUUCUGGAAAUUAGUUGAGACUAUUUAACAGCCUCGGGGGCCCUCCGCAGCACAGGGAACGAGGAUUCUCAGUGGAUAUUUCCUUUGCUGGAGGAGGAAAUCGUGUUGUGAGGAAAAUGAAACCGAGGAAGAUCUCCAGAACAUUGUGAUUCCACACUUAUCACAAGCUGCGACACUGGGUACCACAGUGAUGUUCUCAAGAAGUCAUUCGCCAGCUUAGCAUCCUCGCCUGACUGACAGAAGAGUAGAGAGAGGAUGAAGAAGCCAGUUUACAAUGAUGUGGAUCUAAACUGCACUUGUGUACGUGCUAUGUCUGCAUAAACUCUUUCUGCAAUUCAAAUGUUGACACCCAAAAUUACAAGCCAGAAUGCUUCUGAACUCCACCAUUAUGGUACUGCAGUUCUCUGCAGCCUGAGUCCAUUUUCUGUGAAAAACACCACAGAACAUCUGUUCAUAAACAGUCCUUCUGUGAAAAUACUGACACAGGUCCUGGACGUCUCCAGGCUCAAUUCCCCCGCCAUGUGCAGAUGGCACGAUGUAUUUGUACAGCUGAGGCUUGGGCCGCAGAAGCCAGCCGGAUCUCCAGGAAAAUUCAAAGUGGAAGAACGUGCCUCUCCCUUGCCUGAUUAUGCACACACAAUGAUAAUAGAAUGUUGCGCUCACCUCGUCCAGCAAGAAAAAACGCAACAUGCGAUUCUUCUCAACAGCUUUAUUUCUGGAACGCCUUGAUGCUACGGGAACCCAGGAAACCCAGGGAAGACUGCUUAUAUACACCCCAGCACUGGGGAGAGCUAUGUGU